CUUUCUGCUCUGCUGUGCUGAGGCUUAAAUAGCACCCUGCAGUGGGGAUAGGUACCGUCAGGUUCCUUCUUAGGAAGUUAUUGAUUAUGCUGAUCCUAGAUGGCCAAGUAUUGGCAACUUUGUAGAGUUCAAACUGAUAAUAAAAACCAUGUUAAAAAUCGCCACUGCUUUAGACAUGAGCAAUUCCCCCUCCUAUCUUAGCCUUUCUACAAUUUGUCUUUGACCUGGCAACUAACAUUGUUUUUAUUAUUCCUUCCUUUAGAUUUUCCUUGAAAGGAAGGUGGUAUGUAUGUAUGUAUGGGGCCUGGCAUGAGGCAAGAUUGGAAUUCACAAUUCAGUUAAAGAAAAUAGGCAAAUGACAACGUUAGGAAAUGAUUUGAAAGGAAGAGCUCUACACCCCUGCCACAAAACUAAACAGGUAAAAUGGCCUCCUCUGGCUUCUCUGAGUCUUCUUGUG
rnacentral:lncRNA from 1 species